UUCAUUAAGAUGCUGGUGUCGCCCAAGAGACGACUGAAUGCACAUUACUCCUUUCACAGGAACAAUGACGCCGUCAUUUCCUGGGUCUUUGAAGCGGUUGCAAACAGAUGCCCAGAUGGAGGAGAGAGGACUAAACCAUCCGAGGGAAUUAAUAGCAGAUAUUAACUUGCUUAAGACCUGACUGUUUUAAAAGCAGUGAAUGCCAGUGCGUGGAGAUGCCAGCUCUGUAACAGUUACUAGAGCUCCUGGGGAUGCAUGGCCAGUGAUGCAAGGCUUUGCUGGCGUAUGAAAAUUGGAUGUAGGGAACACACAUCCAGAAAAGGCAUACAGAAGAAGAAAAUGCAGUAUUAACUAGGGUGUUUUGAGAUGGUCUUUUCAAGCCCUGGCUGGCUUAAAACCCAUCCAUAUGGGCUCUCAAGUGCUGGAGAUUGAAAUUGCAUGCCAGUUUUGAUACUAGUUCUUAUGAGGAAUAGAUCUUCAGUCUUGUUAGCUUAAAAUGGUGGGAUUGAGGGUGGGUUUGGAGUUCAGGUGGUGUCUUAUGUUAAUGGAUUGUUAGUGCGUGUGGUAGAAUGCUUUGAUAACAAGUACUGCCAGCUCUGUCCAUUUUCAAAUCUGGUCUAAUUGGUAAUUGCCAUCCUGAAACUCACGGUUGACAUUUUUGUCACUGUAAAAUUCUAUCAUGAACCACAUUUCGUUCGUUGUCCAAUAGUUCACUGAAUACUGAAAUAAACGUUCGAUUGCAACAA